rnacentral:rRNA from 1 species
UACGUAGGGUGCGAGCGUUACUCGGAAUUACUGGGCGUAAAGCGUGCGCAGGCGGUGAUGUAAGACAGAUGUGAAAUCCCCGGGCUCAACCUGGGACCUGCAUUUGUGACUGCAUCGCUAGAGUACGGCAGAGGGGGAUGGAAUUCCGCGUGUAGCAGUGAAAUGCGUAGAUAUGCGGAGGAACACCGAUGGCGAAGGCAAUCCCCUGGGCCUGCACUGACGCUCAUGCACGAAAGCGUGGGGAGCAAACAGG